ACACUUACCUGACAGGGGAGAUACCAUGAUCACAAAGGUGGUUUUCCCAGGGCUUACGCAUUUACUCUGGAUGUGCUCACCCCUGCAAUUUCCCAAAGUGUGGGAACAAAACUGCAUAAUUUGUGGUAGUGGGGAAUGACUUCAUUGACACUCCCCU